AACAACUCAAAGUCUCUAUUUUUUUUAUUCCAAACCUGAUUUCUUGGCACCUUCAAGUUCAAUUUUUACAGUUCUAUUGUCUUUUGAACAAUAUCUUCCGUAAUCGGCCACAAAAAAAUCAUUUUUCAUUUCCAACUCCUAUCAUGUUUUUUCGAUUUUCAUCAUUUGGACUUAUUUAUGGAGGAUGGCCUAGAGUUUGUCUCAAUGUACUCUCAAUUAAACAUAGAUAAAGAUCAAAUGAAGAUAGACAACGCAACAUGAGGACAGAACCAAGAACAUGAAAAAGAUAACGAGGAACAACUACCAAAUUAAUUCCAGACAAUAGUAGCCUUGGCUAUUUCAUUUUUAUUGAUUAUCAUUGUGCCAGUUUUUACUGCUGCAUUUAUAGCAAAUUAUAAGGUCAGAUUGGCUGUGAAUGGUGAAUGUGGUUGCAAUGAGCUUGUCAGUUGUCAUUAUUAGCAUUUGGAUGAAUUGGUACUUUUUUAAGAACAAGUCCUAUGGUGAAAUCUUGUCAAAGAGUUUUAAUUGGAGGCAAGAUGGCUAUGGUCAUUACUUGUUGCCUUGCUAAGCUGAUUGGCUCUACUACAAGUAUUUCUUUCUAUUUUGGAUCUACGGUAAGUUUUUUAAAAAAAAAAUUAAUUCAAGGGGACAAUGCUUAUUUCAAAUGCCAAAAAAAAGAAGUGGUUUUAAGUUUCAUUUAAAGCACGCUAUUGCUGUACAUGGUGAAUGAUUAGGAGUGAAUAAAUACUAAUUUUAUCACGGGUCUCCUUGAAUACUUCCUAUUCAAAAUGUGGGAUUUCACUCCAUCAUGCAAGUUGUUUGAUUUUGCUCACAAUAAAUAUUUUUCUUUAGUAAGGAAUACAUAGUGUGUUAAGCCAUAAUGUCACCCAAGAUUCUCGAGCAAAAAGAAUAUAAUUUGCCCACGUAGCAAGUAAACCAUUUAUGUUCUUGGUUUACUUACUGUAAAAUCUACAUCUUUGAGUUUUUAUCCCCUUUUAUGUCCCAAAUUUAUCUCUCUUUCUAAUGUUUCUUACGAUCAUCUUUACUGUUAGUUAAUAAAGCCUAAUGUUGUUUCA